UCCGUUGGGAAUGGUUUGGACGCCCCAGGUGUCGCCGCCGUUUACUCGGAGAAAAAAAGGGGGCCGCCGCCGAAGUCGACGGGGGCGGACCGGCGGAGAGGGAGGCUGCCGAAGUGCCGAUGCCGGGGCUCUGAACUACGACAAUGUUGCUCGUCAGUGAUCUCGCGCUGUCGGCGGCCGGGGGUCUCUUGCUCCGCGUGAAGGCUCGGGGAACCUGUCGCUCCGCACUCCGCACCCUGCAGCUCAAGGUUGUCAUAUCUGAUGCCAAAACGUCACAUUCACAUAUCGGAAUUGUCGCCAUAUUCUUCAGCAACUGUUGGAGGUGCAGCAGAAACCUGGGAAGUGGGAAUUCGUAUCUCCUAGCAUGGUUAACAUUUCGGAGUCUUACCCAAAUCCCACUCCCCUUGUGUUGUGGUAUACUUCUCUGAUGUAGAAGUUCGUACCUGUUGUUGACCAAGCUUCUGGCACUUGCCUGGUGCAUUGGUGCAAGUUUAAGAAACAAGAAGUCCUGACACUUGCUUUUCCUUGUUCCAUGAAGAUUGUCUUCUGAUUGGUAGCAAUCUUUUUUUUCUGCUUACAUUGGCCUGCAUGAACAUGGGAAUGCUAGAGGUUCCUUGAAGGGCCAUUAAUGCAGUGGUCACUGGUCAACUGCAAUCACGAUUAUGACACCCUGCCUGGAGGUUUUAAGUGGAAGCAAUCACAGCUAAAUAUUGCUUGGUCUCUACUCUCCAAGAUGUUUUCAGAAAACCAAGGGCUGUCCUGGUCCUGACUAGCAUUUUAGGACAUUGAGUUACUUGGAAGCCAAGGCUGUGCUUACUGCCUCUCAGGAUAAUGGCCAAGCUAUAUACUGCAUGCCAUCUGGCCAAAUUUUCCACAGCAGGUUAUGUGGUGUCAUUACCUGGAGGAGAUCACCAACAUUGACGAAAAAUGCUGAUGAGUCUGCCGGCACCUGAAUCCACACCUCCUUGCCGUUGACAUCCGGCAGAAGCACCUGCAGGCCGUCGACGUCGUUUGCCCG